CCUACGGGAGGCAGCAGUGGGGAAUAUUGCACAAUGGGGGAAACCCUGAUGCAGCGACGCCGCGUGAGCGAUGAAGUAUCUCGGUAUGUAAAGCUCUAUCAGCAGGGAAGAAAAUGACGGUACCUGACUAAGAAGCCCCGGCGAACUACGUGCCAGCAGCCGCGGCAAUACGUAGGGGGCAAGCGUUAUCCGGAUUUACUGGGUGUAAGGGGAGCGUAGACGGUUCUGCAAGCCAGAUGUGAAAGCCCGGGGCUCAACCGCGGGACUGCAUUUGGAACUGUAAGGUUUGAGUGUCGGAGAGGCAGGCGGAAUUCGUAGUGGAGCGGUGAAAUGCGUAGAUAUUAGGAGGAACGCCGAUGGCGAAGGCAGCCUGCUGGACGGUGACUGACGUUGAGGCUCGAAAGCGUGGGGAGCAAACAGGAUUAGAUACCCUUGUAGUC
rnacentral:rRNA from 1 species